UCACUUUGGGGUCAAUUCCCGGCAUGUCUGAGGGCUUCCAUGCGAAGGUCGGCGAGUGACUUCGUAUCAGGGCCAUGGCUUCACCUUUUUGUUCUUUGGUGAGGCCGGCAUUGAGACUGAAGACCUUACUCGUUUCUUCUUCUGAUAGGGAGAAGGUCUCCAGCUCUCCAACGGGCUCUGUCCGGGCUUCCUUUGUCUCAUCCCUGACCUCCAAAACUUCCGAAUCAAGCGCUUCUCCGGUUGAGUUUGGUUCCGUCACUGUGGCCAAGUAUACUGCCCUUGCUUCCUCCUGGCUUUCCCGGACCAUUCCCACUCCUCCUUCCGUUGGGAACUUGAGUGCCAGAUACUUGAUGCUAGUGACAGCUUCGAAGCUGAACAACGCCGGCCUCCCCAAAAUCGCAUUGUAGCUUAGUGGGAGUUUGACCACCAAAAACACCUCAUGAUGGGUGCGAGCUUUGGGUGCUUCUCCCAAGGUAAGGGCCAGCUUCACCUUCCCUUCUACAAGUACCGGUGCUCCUCCG
rnacentral:lncRNA from 1 species